CCGCCUCCCGCCGGCGAGACUCGUGCAGGGCUGCCCCUGACAGAAGGGAGGCACACCUGGGGAGACGGAGGGUUCGGGGGAGCUGGGAAUGUCCCUCGGGAAGGGACUCCGUGCGCCCGUCGGAGAGGCGAAGGAUCAGGCGCAGGGCGACGGCGGCGGAAGGGAGGGGAGCGCACGGGGAGGGGAGCGCACGGGGAGGGGAGCGCAGAGGGCGGGCGGCGCGGGCGGGCCACCAGCAGGGAGCGCCGCAGUGGCGGGAGGCAGGCCGGGCCCGCCGAGGCCGUGCGUUCCUCGCCCAGCGGAGCCACCGGCAGCCGCGCCGUGGCCCCGCGGCAGGUGGGUGCCCGACGCCCAGGUUAGCGCCGGCUGGUGCGGCGCGCCGGGCAGGGCCGGGCCGGGCCGGGCCGCGGUCCUAGGCAGUGGCUGCAGGGGCCUCCUCGGCGCUGUCGGCGCAGGCGCGGCGGUCGCGGGCCUUGUGGCGGGCCAGAGCUGGCAGCGGGCCGGAGGAGGCCGAGAGCACAGAGCCGGGCGGCGAGAGCGGGGCGGUGCGGUGAGCUUUGGGCGGCGGAGCGGGACAAUGGUGCUAUGUCUUCUGAGCAGAACAUUACAACUAGCAAGACAUUCAUACAGUCCACUGGGGAGACCACUUUGUUCCACCAGCGCAAAUAAGCCAGUGCUGACUUUAUUCACCAAGCUCUACUGCGCAGCGUUUGAGUGCUUAUGCCAGCACAAAAGAACCAGUGACAGGAAGAUGUGUCUGCUUCCUUCAUCAUCAGUGCCAGCUUACAGUGACCACAAAACUGCAGUCUAAAAACCAUGCCCUCUAUGUGAUGAAGCAAAAGAAGUGCUUGAACCAUAUAAGAGAAGGGUUAUUUUGCAGGAGGUGGAUAUUACCCUUCCAGAGAACUCAGCAUGGUGUGAUAAAUACAAAUAUGACAUACCUGUUUUUCAUUUAAAUGGGAAGUUCCUAAUGAAGCAUCGAGUAGACAUUCAAAAGUUUGAGGACCAGCUUAUGAAGCAGGAGUUGCGAAAUGAUGGAAAGCAGUAAAGAAAAUGCAGCUGCUAUGGUGUGAAUCUGAAAGGACUGUACAAGAUAAAUUGUGUGAAAAGCAGUAUUCAUUAUCUGGCCUUAUGUUUCUUAGAGCAUAUGGCACCAGUAUCCUAAAAAACUUGUGUGGCUUGAAUUCUAUUUUUGUAUUAAUCAUCCAGCCCCGCUGCACCAGUGGCAGUUCUGUACCAUUUAUUUGCUGCUAUCCCAGGCUGGCUUUUCACUGACAGAAUAAAUGCUUCUAUGGAGCAGCAGAUAAAGAGAAA